GCCGCUGUGGCGAAAUGGCAGACGCGAUGGACUCAAAAUCCAUUGAGGGCAACUUCAUGUCGGUUCGACUCCGACCAGCGGCACCA
rnacentral:tRNA from 1 species